rnacentral:rRNA from 1 species
CCUACGGGAGGCAGCAGUGGGGAAUAUUGCACAAUGGGCGCAAGCCUGAUGCAGCCAUGCCGCGUGUGUGAAGAAGGCCUUCGGGUUGUAAAGCACUUUAAGCGGGGAGGAAGGCGGUGAGGUUAAUAACCUCAUCGAUUGACGUUACCCGCAGAAGAAGCACCGGCUAACUCCGUGCCAGCAGCCGCGGUAAUACGGAGGGUGCAAGCGUUAAUCGGAAUUACUGGGCGUAAAGCGCACGCAGGCGGUCUGUCAAGUCGGAUGUGAAAUCCCCGGGCUCAACCUGGGAACUGCAUUCGAAACUGGCAGGCUAGAGUCUUGUAGAGGGGGGUAGAAUUCCAGGUGUAGCGGUGAAAUGCGUAGAGAUCUGGAGGAAUACCGGUGGCGAAGGCGGCCCCCUGGACAAAGACUGACGCUCAGGUGCGAAAGCGUGGGGAGCAAACAGGAUUAGAUACCCGAGUAGUC